UAAUAAGUGCUUUAUGGCACUUUUUAAAUCCAUAUCCACCUUGUGUGCAAUGUCAGUCGAUCUUCUUCAUGGAGAUCGACCAACCAUCAACCUUUAUCUUUUAACUCUUUGUCUGAAAAAUAUUAUGAAUAAACAAUUCAAAAUA
rnacentral:misc_RNA from 1 species